AGCAUAUCAAUAAGCGGAGGAAAAGAAACCAACAGGGAUUACCUCAGUAACGGCGAGUGAAGCGGUAACAGCUCAAAUUUGAAAUCUGGCUCACGCCCGAAUUGUAAUUUGCAGAAGAUGCUUUGGGUGUGGCCCCGGUCUAAGUUCCUUGGAACAGGACGUCAUAGAGGGUGAGAAUCCCGUAUGUGACUGGUGGUCUUCGUCCGUGUAAAGCUCUUUCGACGAGUCGAGUUGUCUGGGAAUGCAGCUCAAAAUGGGUGGUAUAUUUCAUCUAAAGCUAAAUAUUGGCCAGAGACCGAUAGCGCACAAGUAGAGUGAUCGAAAGAUGAAAAGCACUUUGGAAAGAGAGUUAAACAGUACGUGAAAUUGUUGAAAGGGAAGCGCUUGCAACCAGACUUGUAGGCUGCUGAUCAUCCGGGGUUCUCUCCGGUGCACUCGGUAGCUUUCAGGCCAGCAUCGGUUUGGGUGGUGGGAUAAAGGCCUUGGGAAUGUAGCACCUCUCGGGGUGUGUUAUAGCCCAAGGUGCCAUGCUGCCUACCCGGACCGAGGACCGCGCUUCGGCUAGGAUGCUGGCGUAAUGGUUGUAAGCGACCCGUCUUGAAACAC
rnacentral:rRNA from 1 species